AUCCAUAGCUGGUUUGAGAGGAUGAUCAGCCACACUGGGACUGAGACACGGCCCAGACUCCUACGGGAGGCAGCAGUGGGGAAUCUUAGACAAUGGGGGCAACCCUGAUCUAGCCAUGCCGCGUGAGUGAUGAAGGCCUUAGGGUUGUAAAGCUCUUUCAGCUGGGAAGAUAAUGACGGUACCAGCAGAAGAAGCCCCGGCUAACUCCGUGCCAGCAGCCGCGGUAAUACGGAGGGGGCUAGCGUUGUUCGGAAUUACUGGGCGUAAAGCGCACGUAGGCGGACCAGAAAGUUGGGGGUGAAAUCCCGGGGCUCAACCCCGGAACUGCCUUCAAAACUAUUGGUCUGGAGUUCGAGAGAGGUGAGUGGAAUUCCGAGUGUAGAGGUGAAAUUCGUAGAUAUUCGGAGGAACACCAGUGGCGAAGGCGGCUCACUGGCUCGAUACUGACGCUGAGGUGCGAAAGCGUGGGGAGCAAA
rnacentral:rRNA from 1 species